GUCUGCUGCAGUUUCUCCAUCAUUCCAGUGACGACGGUCGGAGGCUCAACAUCGAGAAAGAAGUGUUGCGCUUGUUUUCGAAAUAUUUGGUCUUAAUCCAAUAUUUCAUAGAUAUUUCGCUUUUGAAAGUACAUUGUUGCUUCGUUUAAACACUUUUUGAGGUGCUUUUCUUCGUAGCUGGCAUUUUUGUCGACGAUUUGAUAAAGAGAUUUCGUAGCUAACGUAAACUGCCUUUGGCAGAAUCUCAGAACGAUGGCUACACAGGUUAACUCUCACUCGGAUAUGGCUCAGGCUCGCCAGAGCGAUGGCCUCAAUGUGAUCUUCGACCAGAAAAGCCCCGGAUCAUCUCGCUCCCGAUCCCGCUCUGUCAGCAGCUCCGCCAGCAGCCGAUCCACUGGUUCUGGCUACAGGGCGCGCAAAGGUCGCCGGGGUGAUUACAGGUCAUCAUCCUCAUCCUCCUCAUCUUCUUCCAGGAGCAGGUCAUCUUCUCGCUCCAGGUCGCGUUCCAGAUCCCGCUCCCACCCUCGUUGCCACCGCCACUCCUCCCGGUGCCGGUGUGAUGACCACCGCAGUUAUGGCGGCGACCGAUACCGCCGUUCCCCACCCAGGCGCUACAGGGCGCGCUCCCGAUCCUACAGUCGAUCCCCAGCCCGCCGCUAUAGAGGACGCUCCCGCUCCUACAGCCGAUCCCCUCCACGCCGCUACAGGGCGCACUCUCGCUCCUACACACGGUCCCCCUCAGCAGACAGAUAUUACCGCUAUCGGCGGAGGUCCAGGUCCGGCUCCUGGUCACCGGCCCGCUGGAGCAGAUACAGGAGGCCCGUGAGUCAGCUGAGAUGCAGGUUUUCUCGUUCCCCUUCCAGGCCCUACAGGGGGCGCUCACGAUCCAGGUCAUCAGGACGCUCUGUCAGUCUAAGCGUGCAUGACAAAAGGGAACUCCUUGAAGUUGCCAAGGCCAAUGCAAUGAGGAUGCUGGGAGUGGAGAAGCUGGACCUUCCUGAAAGUGUGAAGCCCAUCCUGUCAGAGCAGCCAGAGGCCAGACGUCACUCACCGGAGCCACUCACCAGGGUGAGGCAAGGGCCCCAAAAGACUGAGGUGGAGGUGAGUGGUCUGCAAAAGUAAAGAGCUUUAAAAGGAAACGUCUCUCCAGGCUUUGUAUGGUUGGGAAAGCAGUUUCCUUUCCAUUACGGUACGGUACUAUUGGCCUGGAAAAUGUUUUAUUAAGGUAACAGAUUUGUUCUUAAAAGAACAUUCAGUUCUUUAAAUUUGCUGCUGGUCAGUUUAUAUUGAAGCUGACUCCUUACCUGCUCUUGAUCUACUUUUUUUUUUGUAACAUUUCCUUGUAAAUCUUCUGACCCAUGAGGGAACACACAUGCUCUCUGUAUUUAUUCCUGUCUUCAUAGAUUACAUGACAGUGGUCUCCUUCACUCAUCGGCACCUGGGAUAAAAAGGCUGUCAUGUGACUUGGAUGAAAUGGGUUAUUAUUAUAGCAGAAUCUUCCACUCGCUGAAGGAGAACAGACAUGUGUCAAGAGAACUUCUCUGCAUAUCCUAAAGAUAAGUUGGUACACAAGAUGUGUGCUGAGGGGCUGGGGGAACCUGCGUCUUCAUCAUUGAUCCAUCAGUCUUCCAGUUAAAACUAA